AUCAGUUGAGUGGCAACUGGGCAGGUAUAUCCAAUGGCUUUUAAAUAUUGGUUCGUUUUUGCGGCCGUCCUGUAUGCUCGACAAUGGCUCAGCACUAAAUGCGAAGUGCCACAAAUGACUUCGUCCUCCGCGCCGGAUCUUGAAGAGGAGGACGAUUACACAGCAU